rnacentral:tRNA from 1 species
GCGCCCGUAGCUCAGCUGGAUAGAGCGUUGGAUUCCGGUUCCAGAGGCCACAGGUUCGACUCCUGUCGGGCGUACCA